rnacentral:rRNA from 1 species
CACGUAGGGUCCGAGCGUUGUCCGGAGUUACUGGGCGUAAAGCGCGCGCAGGCGGUCGCGCACAUCGGCGGUGAAAGCCCCCCCGCUCAACGGGGGAGGGUCCGUCGAGAUGGCGCGACUGGAGGCAGGGAGAGGGCGGUGGAAUUCCGGGUGUAGUGGUGAAAUGCGUAGAGAUCCGGAGGAACACCAGUGGCGAAGGCGGCCGCCUGGAC